rnacentral:rRNA from 1 species
AACGAACGCUGGCGGCAGGCUUAACACAUGCAAGUCGAGCGCAUCCUUCGGGGUGAGCGGCGGACGGGUGAGUAACGCGUGGGAACGUGCCCUCUUCUACGGAAUAGCCUCGGGAAACUGAGAGUAAUGCCGUAUACGCCCGCAAGGGGAAAGAUUUAUCGGAGGAGGAUCGGCCCGCGUUGGAUUAGGUAGUUGGUGGGGUAACGGCCUACCAAGCCGACGAUCCAUAGCUGGUUUGAGAGGAUGAUCAGCCACACUGGGACUGAGACACGGCCCAGACUCCUGCGGGAGGCAGCAGUGGGGAAUCUUGGACAAUGGGGGCAACCCUGAUCCAGCCAUGCCGCGUGAUCGAUGAAGGCCUUAGGGUUGUAAAGAUCUUUCAGCUGGGAAGAUAAUGACGGUACCAUCAGAAGAAGCCCCGGCUAACUCCGUG